UAUCAAUUGUUCUAAAGGCAGAUAUUCCUGAUGCAACAAGAUGGUACCCUUGACUUAACAUCCUCAAUGACCAGGCUGUUGGGUGAUGAGGGACGCAGAGGCUUUAACAGCCCAUGAGUCACAGAUGGUGUAAGACCUUGAGUAGCAGAGCACAGGGCUGAUGAAUGGGUGUUCUGGCAGGAAUGGAUCUUCCUGUCUUGCUUUUUGGCUGCUGGGCAGCUAGGCGAUUCACCUUUCCACCAGACUGCUGCCAUAUCCCCAGCUUGAUUCCAACGUAUUGAACCAGGCAAUGCUUGAGGCACUUUUUGAAUGGCAUGAGAUUUUCCAGGCACUCUAGGCCCGGUGCUGGUGCUUUCCGGGACUGGAAGCAGGAAGCCAACGAACACUGAGCUCUGGGGUACUGAUCCAGACUCCACUUGCCGACAGUUAGACAAACCAGCCUGCUUCUGUUUCCCUCAAGACACUCAGGGGCCUCAAUAUUUCCACAGGGGAAAAAAGUUGCCAGAAAUGCUGUACCCUGAUGUGGGAGGCUUGGAGCUAGAGCGUGUGUUUAGGCAUCGCCCUGAACAAGGCUCGGUGGGUGAGCUGCAUCACCACAGGAGUAGCCCUGGGAUGCGCUGAGCCUCAGACACCCGUAAUCGCCAGCAGCAGCCAUCAAUUUCUUCACAUUAAGCAAGUGCCCAGCUCUGUGUUUCACAGCAGGAUAGCAGCUCAAACGGUGACUAGAACUGAGAAACGGGGGAUUUGAGAGUGAGUUGGAGGAUAGUAAAUAAUGGCUGGGAGUCUUCAUGGAGAUGACUGGCUGCUGGCCAACAUAACAAGACCUGUCUGAUUCCAAAGGACUAGGUGUUUAUCUCUCAAUUGGCACGUUUGUGGGCAGUCUCCGAGCAAGAGGACAGGGAAGGAACCCGGAUUCCCCUGUUGUUUCUAGAGCUUCUUGUAUGUGAAGGCCUUGGCCAGGUGCCCAUUUCCGUGAGCCUCACAGAAUGCCAACGGGAACCAGCCCAUGAAACUGAAGAACAUCUUGUUUACCAGAUGGAACCUUCGAACAGAGACUUGAGUGUAAUGGAUAGAAAAGUAACUCUCUCUGGGAUUGCUUUAGCCACUUUUCUCGGGGCAAAUUCUGAGACCACAGCUGAAGUUUUCCAGUUUGGGGCUACAGGGAAGGCUCUUUUCCUCCCUUGCAGCUGUCCCAGAAACGAAUCACAACUGAUUCUCACAGCAGCUCUGCAAAGGUGAGGAAACUGAGGAUACAAGAGACUUGCUCAAGCCCCUCAGCAAGAUGAUCCAGGAGGUCUUUUCCCUCUCUGGUUUACAGGAUCCUACAACUACUAUUAGCCACAUCCAGACCUUGCCCAAAUGAGCCCUCCAGAUAAAUGCCCUAAGGAGUAGAAUUCAAGUGUGGAAUUCUAAAUAGCAAGUCUCACAAGCUACAAAAAUAAAAAUAAAAUCCAGCCAUGAAGCAAAUUUUAAGUUCCGUCUUGGAAUCACCAGAGAGAAAACCAUUGUGAAGACAAAGGGGAUUUUUCCUUUGGCUUGAAUUCAUCAGCUCUGUCAAAGAUUUUGAGGGCAAGCAUUAUGUAGCAUUGGCGAGGGAACCGUAUCCAGCGACUUGCUAUUGUCACAGUUGCUAUGUUCCGCAUUAUGAUCAUUAUUAGAGUGCCGUCUGCAGUGUUGUUGUAGCUGUGUUGGUCCCAGAUUAUUAGAGAGAGAAGGUGGGUGAGGUAAUAUCUUUUAUUGGACCUGAGCAAUGUGAAACUCAAAAGCUUGUCUCCCCCCACCAGCCAAAGUUGGUCCAAUAAAAGAUAUUACCUCACCCACCUUGUUUCUUGUUAGAAUAUAGAAUAAUUGUUAAUUCUACAUCAGCCACCGCCCACCUUUGGAGAUCUGCGGGAGGUAACACUGGGCAUUCUUCUACCAUAUGCUUCGAAAUCAAUUAGCAUUGCUGGAUAGAAUCAGCAGCUCCUAAACACUCAAACUCAGGGUUGCCAAGAUGUCAUGGGAGAAUAUUAAUGUGGUUUUAAUUUACUGGGUUUCUGUGCAACCCGCCU